rnacentral:rRNA from 1 species
AGAGUUUGAUUCUGGCUCAGAUUGAACGCUGGCGGAAUGCUUUACACAUGCAAGUCGAACGGCAGCACGGGAGCUUGCUCCUGGUGGCGAGUGGCGAACGGGUGAGUAAUGCGUCGGAACGUACCGAGUAAUGGGGGAUAACGCAGCGAAAGCUGUGCUAAUACCGCAUACGCCCUGAGGGGGAAAGUGGGGGAUCGCAAGACCUCACGUUAUUCGAGCGGCCGACGUCUGAUUAGCUAGUUGGUGGGGUAAAGGCUCACCAAGGCGACGAUCAGUAGCGGGUCUGAGAGGAUGAUCCGUCACACUGGAACUGAGACACGGUCCAGACUCCUACGGGAGGCAGCAGUGGGGAAUUUUGGACAAUGGGGGCAACCCUGACCCAGCCAUUCCGCGUGAGUGAAGAAGGCCUUCGGGUUGUAAAGCUCUUUCAGCCGGAACGAAACGGUACGCACUAAUAUUGUGUGCUAAUGACGGUACCGGCAGAAGAAGCACCGGCUAACUACGUGCCAGCAGCCGCGGUAAUACGUAGGGUGCGAGCGUUAAUCGGAAUUACUGGGCGUAAAGCGUGCGCAGGCGGAUUGUUAAGCAAGAUGUGAAAUCCCCGGGCUUAACCUGGGAAUGGCAUUUUGAACUGGCAGUCUAGAGUGUGUCAGAGGGGGGUGGAAUUCCACGUGUAGCAGUGAAAUGCGUAGAUAUGUGGAGGAACACCAAUGGCGAAGGCAGCCCCCUGGGAUAACACUGACGCUCAUGUACGAAAGCGUGGGUAGCAAACAGGAUUAGAUACCCUGGUAGUCCACGCCCUAAACGAUGUCAACUGGUUGUUGGGGGGAGUGAAAUCCCUUAGUAACGAAGCUAACGCGUGAAGUUGACCGCCUGGGGAGUACGGUCGCAAGAUUAAAACUCAAA